rfam:Helicobacteraceae bacterium 4484_230 ex4484_230_scaffold_830, whole genome shotgun sequence.
CGGGGUGUAGCUCAGUAUGGUUAGAGUACUUGGUUUGGGACCAAGGGGCCGAAGGUUCGAGUCCUUUCACCCCGA